rnacentral:tRNA from 3 species
GCCGAAGUGGUGAAAUUGGUAUACGCAGUGGAUUCAAAAUCCUCCGAGCAUUAGCUCGUGCCGGUUCGAUUCCGGCCUUCGGCACCA